rnacentral:sRNA from 1 species
CAGUCCCGAAAGAUGGUGUUCUUUUAUAAUCUGAUGUCCUCAUUGGCUAAAUACAAUCCUAACUAGAUAAAACUGAAAACCAAAAUACAGGGGAAUAUAGAUCUCAUGGCCGGUCCCAAACGGUAAAAGCAGCGACGCCGCUCCGCAAGGCAAUGGAAUAUGAGAGCCAAUAGCAAGAUACCCAAAACGGAGAAGCCCUAGAGCUCCAUCAACGUCCAUGGGCAUGCCCAAUUGCUUUGUGACGUUUACUAGUGGAUUAUGCAAUCACAAUUUCAGAUUGCUCCAUCUUUUUAGUAAUAGAUUCCUUGGAGAGAAAUCUCGUCACGUAACUAAUCCCUAACUUGCUAACUUAAUCAAACAACCUAAACCCUACAAAACUCAAAAUUAAUAC